rnacentral:lncRNA from 1 species
CGGGGCGCCAGGUACAGCCGGCGGGACGUCCAGUGCCAGCGCAGGAGCCGGGCGAGGCCGUGGCCUCCAGGGUUCCUGGGCGGAGGACAAGGCGCGCAGCCGCGUUGGCGCGAGUUUUAAAUCGGUGCCUUCUCAGCUUUGCAAGUUCUUAUCAAUUGCUGCAUGCCAGAGGAAGUUUUUAAAAAAUGGCCCCCAGCUCUAUUGCGGUGUAAUUGAUGGAUAGAAAUUGUAUUUAUUUAAGGUGAACAGCUGGAUGAUGUGAUGGAGGCACGCAGGGUGGAGGGGUUACCACAGUCUAGGUACUCUACACAUCCAGAGCCUCCCACAGUUGACAAAUGGAUUUUCCUAAUCAGUUUCGUCGUGUUUUGUACUUAAGUUGAGGAUUCCACACCGUGUGGUACUUUCAGAAGAGAUGUAGUGGUGAAUCAAUCGCAACGGUUGUGAUGUUUUCCUAAUUAGGUAUUGAGAAUUACCAUUGGUAUUUGGAAUUAGAUUGCGGAGCAUUUAGGAACCGUUCUCGCUAUGUUGCCCAGGCUGGUCUUGAACUCCUCAGCUGAAAUGAGCCUCCCACCUCGGCCUCCCAAAGUGCUGGGAUUACAGGCGUCCCCUCUGCCCCAGUACUGUUUCCUCUCCCCAGCCCAGCCCCCACAGCUGCCUGCCCUGGCCUCACUCCCUGGCCUCCCCCAUCCCAGCCUCUGGGUCCCUGAGUCAGUCCCUGGGGCUGUCUGCCUUCUAGGGGAGCCUCUGGUGUGGACCAGAAAGUAACCUAAUCCCUUCCAGGCCCACCCUGGAAACAAAGGGAUUUGUCCACUAGCCUGGUGGUGAGAACCAUGUGGCCUCCUGUCUCUGGCAGAGAGGACUCCAGGAUCAAGGGCAGGUAAAAGGAGGAGCCUCCUGGGGAGCUUCAGAAGGAGGGUCCCAAGUCCCUCCUGCCCCACUUCUGUGCCUGGGUCACUCACACCCCUGCCUGACUCUAGCCCCCCUUCUCCAGGGGUCUCCACAACAUGUGAAUCAUGCCCAGCGUCUUCCAUUACACCCUUGAUAAAGUCCUCUCCUCACCAGGACCUCUGUCAUUUUACCUCAUGGUUUUGAAAUAAUUUUUGGUCUUCUUAGCAGUUUAAAAAUAUUGUUUUGUUUUUUUUCCUGAGUUUGGAGCAUUCCUGUUACUAAUUACAUUUUUUUUUUAGACAGGUGUACACUACUACACCCAGCUAAUUUGUUUUGUUUUGUUUUGUUUUGGUAGAGAUAGGAUCUUGCUAUGGUACCCAGGCUGGUCUUCAACUCCUGGGCUCAAGCAAUCCUCCUGCAUUGGCCUCCCAAAGUGCUGGAAUUACAGGCAUGAGGCAGCACGCCCAGCCCUAAUUACUUCUAUUACGCCAAAUUCCUUGUGUGGAAUUCCUGUGCUUUGCACACAAAUUGCCAGGUUGGCCCCAAAGGGGAAAAAAGUGGAUCCCAUUUUCCCAUCUUCUAUGCCUACGUGGCUGACAAAUCUCCCGAAUCCCACAGGAGCUGUCGCUGAUCUUUGUCCUCUAUUCGCUGAAAUAAAGUUCACCA